rnacentral:rRNA from 1 species
CCUACGGGUGGCAGCAGUAGGGGAUAUUGCUCAAUGGGGGAAACCCUGAAGCAGCAACGCCGCGUGGAGGAUGAAGGUUUUCGGAUUGUAAACUCCUUUUGUUAGAGAAGAUAAUGACGGUAUCUAACGAAUAAGCACCGGCUAACUCCGUGCCAGCAGCCGCGGUAAUACGGAGGGUGCAAGCGUUACUCGGAAUCACUGGGGGUAAAGAGCGCGUAGGCGGGAUAGCAAGGCAGAUGUGAAAUCCUAUGGCUUAACCAUAGAACUGCAUUUGACACUGGGUGGCUAGAGUAUGGGAGAGGUAGGUGGAAUUCCUGGUGUAGGGGUAAAAUGCGUAGAGAUCAGGAGGAAUACUCAUGGCGAAGGCGACCUGCUGGAACAUAACUGACGUUGAGGCGCGAAAGCGUGGGGAGCAAACAGGAUUAGAUACCCGGGUAGUC